rnacentral:rRNA from 1 species
CGGGUUGCAGCAGUAGGGAAUCUUCCGCAAUGGACGAAAGUCUGACGGAGCAACGCCGCGUGAGCGAAGAAGGCCUUCGGGUCGUAAAGCUCUGUUGUUAGGGAAGAACAAGUAACGCAGUAACUGGCGUUACCGUGACGGUACCUAACGAGAAAGCCACGGCUAACUACGUGCCAGCAGCCGCGGUAAUACGUAGGUGGCAAGCGUUGUCCGGAAUUAUUGGGCGUAAAGCGCGCGCAGGCGGUUCCUUAAGUCUGAUGUGAAAGCCCACGGCUCAACCGUGGAGGGUCAUUGGAAACUGGGGGACUUGAGUGCAGAAGAGGAGAGCGGAAUUCCACGUGUAGCGGUGAAAUGCGUAGAGAUGUGGAGGAACACCAGUGGCGAAGGCGGCUCUCUGGUCUGUAACUGACGCUGAGGCGCGAAAGCGUGGGGAGCAAACAGGAUUAGAUACCCGAG